GAAACUCUUUCGGAUCAGCUAAUAAAAUCUGUCGAAGGAGAACAGCCCAAAACAUCAGCAAGUAACAGCUCGUGGGCAAAAUUUAAGAAUUUUUUUCACUGUGGAAGGAGAACACCAAGGCAGUCAAGAAGAUCUGCUGGAGAAACCCGUGCACCACCUACCUGUUGGGCAAGGAUCCGGCGUUUUUUUAGAUGCUGAACCAUCC